CAUUCAUGAUGACUUAAUUCAGUUCUGCUUCUGAUUAAUCAUUGAAGAAGCUUUUACCCACACUCCUGAGUA